rnacentral:pre_miRNA from 1 species
AGUGAAAUUGCUAGAUCAUAUGGUAACUCUGUGUUUAACUUUUUUGAGGAAUGGCCAGACUUUUUUCCAAAGCUGUUGUACCAUUUUACAUUUCUACCAGCAGU